rnacentral:rRNA from 1 species
GACGAACGCUGGCGGCGUGCUUAACACAUGCAAGUCGAACGGAAAGGCCCUGCUUUUGUGGGGUGCUCGAGUGGCGAACGGGUGAGUAACACGUGAGUAACCUGCCCUUGACUUUGGGAUAACUUCAGGAAACUGGGGCUAAUACCGGAUAUGAGCUCCUGCUGCAUGGUGGGGGUUGGAAAGUUUCGGCGGUUGGGGAUGGACUCGCGGCUUAUCAGCUUGUUGGUGGGGUAGUGGCUUACCAAGGCUUUGACGGGUAGCCGGCCUGAGAGGGUGACCGGCCACAUUGGGACUGAGAUACGGCCCAGACGCCUACGGGAGGCAGCAGUGGGGAAUAUUGCACAAUGGGCGGAAGCCUGAUGCAGAAACGCCGCGUGCGGGAUGACGGCCUUCGGGUUGUAAACCGCUUUCGCCUGUGACGAAGCGUGAGUGACGGUAAUGGGUAAAGAAGCACCGGCUAACUACGUG